UACAGAGGUCUCAAGCGUUGUUCGGAUUCAUUGGGCGUAAAGGGUGUGUAGGUGGCGCCGUAAGUCGGGUGUGAAAUUUCGGAGCUUAACUCCGAAACUGCAUUCGAUACUGCGGUGCUUGAGGACUGGAGAGGAGACUGGAAUUCAUGGUGUAGCAGUGAAAUGCGUAGAGAUCAUGAGGAAGACCAGUGGCGAAGGCGGCUACCUGGACAGGUACUGACGCUGAAGCGCGAAAGCUAGGGGAGCAAACAGG
rnacentral:rRNA from 1 species